rnacentral:lncRNA from 1 species
AUGGGAAGGAACCACACAGAGAGACUUGGUGAGCCGUCAGCCUCCACCAGUUGCAGGAAGAGAAUCUGGAGGCUGCUGUUAACCAUGGAGCAGAACAAUGGCACUUCAGUGACUGAAUUCCUUCUCCUGGGAUUCGCUGCUCAGCGCACGUCUUGGCACGUCCUCUUCACAGUAUUUCUGGUGAUCUAUGCGGCCACCCUGGUGGGUAACAUUGGCAUGAUCCUCCUCAUCAAGACUGACUCUUCCCUUCACACCCCCAUGUACUUUUUCCUCCAAAAUUUGGCUUUUGUUGAUCUUUGCUAUGCCUCUGCUAUCACGCCCAAAAUGUUGCAGAAUUUUGUGGGCACAAAACAAUCCAUCUCAUUCAUGGGAUGUUUGGUGCAGUUACUGGUCUAUGGGGCUUUUAUAACGAGCGACAGCUACAUCCUGGCGGCGAUGGCAGUGGACCGUUACGUGGCCAUCUGCGACCCUCUCCACUACCCAGCACUCAUGUCCCGGAGGGUCUGCAUUCAACUCUUGAUUGGUUCUUACUUCAUGGGUUUCCUAAAUGCCUCUGUAAAUGUAGGUUUUACUUUCUCACUGGACUUUUGCAAAUCCAAUAAAAUUAACCACUUUUUCUGUGAUGAGCCCCCAAUUCUGGCCCUCUCAUGCUCUGACAUUUAUUUCAACGUCAUGGUGCUAGCAGCCUUUGUGGGGUUUAACUUGACGUUCACCGUGUCCGUCGUCAUCUUUUCCUACAUAUUUAUCCUGGCUGCCAUCCUGAAGAUCGCUUCUGCUGCAGGGCGGAAGAAAGCCUUCUCCACCUGUGCCUCCCACCUGACCGCUGUCACCAUCUUCUGUGGGACACUCUCUUACAUGUAUCUGCACCAUCGCACUGCAGAGUCUCAAGAGCAAGAAAAAAUGGCUUCUGUGUUUUAUGGGGUUGUGAUCCCCAUGUUAAACCCCCUCAUCUACAGCCUGAGGAACCAAGAAGUGAGAGAAGCCCUUAAAGUGAUAGGAAAAAAAUACUUCAGGUGUAAUGCUUGAUUUCGGGUUCUCCACACCACACGAACAGUGCCAGUUUUUAAGAGAUCAAAACAAAGAGCCAAACAGCAUAAAGCUGCUCAACUUAUUAACAUGGAAAUUUAAAGUAACAGUAAGAUAGCUGCCUUACCCCAAUAUGACUGGCAAAAAUUGAAAAAGAAUAACAAUGCCUAUUAAUCGCUGUGAUGUAAGGAAAAAGGAUGCUCCCAGAUACCAUUAUCUCACCACCAUUUCCUGCCAAUUUCUGCCCUGGGAGUAAUUUCUCCUUCCAUUGAACCCAUAGUGCUUCUCUUGUUUCAAUAAAUAUUAUUUAUUUAUCA